rnacentral:rRNA from 1 species
UAAAAAAAUCUGGCUAUAUGCUGGGAAAUCCGGUGGAUCCGGCGGUACUCGGUUCUCUUUAAGAGAAUGAGUGACAAUCCGACCGGUGCGGACAAUCAGCAGGAAAGGCCCCGAAAAGGUCGAGAGGAUGCUCAAUAUAAAGGAAAUCCCUCCCUCAAUCGGCCAUUAUUUGGCUGGUUUUACUGAUGGAGAAGGCAGCUUUAAUGUCUCCUUUCGACCCCGUAGCGACUACCGCCAGCCAUGGAAGGUUUCUCUCUGCUUUAACAUUUCGCAGAGGGAUAAGGUAAUCCUGGCCUUGUUCAAGCGGUAUCUUCAGUGUGGGACGCUUCGCUCUCGUAAGGAUGGUGUUUGGUACUAUGAAGUUAACAAUCUCAAUUCCAUCUGCGAGAACGUCAUCCCGUUUUUUGAGAGAUUUAAGUUUCUGUCAGCGAAAAAGAAGCGAGAUUUCUCAAAGUUUGUUAAGGUGGCACAAUUGAUGAGGGAUCAAAAGCAUCUAACACUGGAGGGCAUCAAGGAGAUUCUAGAGAUCCGCAGGGAGAUGAAUGAGGGCGGAAAACGUCGUUACGGUGAGGCUGAAAUCCUACAGAGAUUUCAGCUCGGGGAAUCCUCAGAGACCAUACGCCAGACCUCGGUUGAACGAGGAUGAGAUGGUCCGAUCUGCAUGGCGACAUGCAGAGUGGGUAUUCAAUCCCACCACCCCAAUAAAGGGUAGUAACAAUGUGAACGGUCCUAAGGUAGCGAAGCCCCUUGUCGGGUAAGUUCCGACCUGCACGAAAGGCGUAACGACCUGGGCGCUGUCUCAACGAGGGACUCGGCGAAAUUGAAGUGCCCGUGAAGAUGCGGGCUACCCGCGACUGGACAAAAAGACCCCGUGGAGCUUUACUAUAGCUUGGCAUUGGAUCAAGGCUUAGCCUGUGUAGGAUAGGUGGGAGGCUGAGAAGCCCUGGCGCCAGUUGGGGCGGAGCCAUCAGUGAAAUACCACUCUUGUUAAGUUUUGGUUCUAACCCUUGAACAAGCAAGGAGACAGUGUCAGGUGGGUAGUUUGACUGGGGCGGUCGCCUCCUAAAAGGUAACGGAGGCGCCCAAAGGUCCCCUCAAGGUGGAUGGAAAUCACCUGUAGAGCGUAUUGGUAUAAGGGGGCUUGACUGUGAGACCUACAAGUCGAUCAGGGACGAAAGUCGGGCAAAGUGAUCCCACGGUGCUGUGUGGAAAGGCCGUGGCUUAACGGAUAAAAGCUACCCCGGGGAUAACAGGCUGAUUCCGCCCAAGAGUUCAUAUCGACGGCGGAGUUUGGCACCUCGAUGUCGGCUCAUCGCAUCCUGGGGCUGGAGAAGGCCCCAAGGGUUGGUCUGUUCGCCCAUUAAAGCGGUACGUGAGCUGGGUUCAGACCGUCGUGAGACAGGUCGGUCUCUAUCCGUCGUGGGCGCAGGAGAUUUGAGAGGAGCUCUCCUUAGUACGAGAGGACCAGGAGGGACAGACCUCUGGUUUGCCAGUUGUCCCGCCAGGGGCAUUGCUGGGUAGCUAUGUCUGGAUCGGAUAAGCACUGAAAGCAUCUUAAGUGCGAAGCCGACCUCAAGAUGAGAUCUCCCACCGGUUAACCGGGUAAGACUGCAGCGAGACUAGCUGCUUGAUAGGCGGCAGGUGUAAGCGGAGCAAUCCGUUCAGCUAAGCCGUACUAAUCGGUCGAGGGCUUUUGCAC